AAAACGGAGAACAGUGUCCACGAUGAGUUGAAAACGCACAACAUGCAGAUAUAUGUCUGCCAUGAGCCAGAUGCAGUGGGAAUCGUCAUUGAGGGAAUCCCAGUUCUUACUGAUCUUGGCGAUCUGGCCAGGGCAUGUUGCCUGCUUCUGGGGAUGAAAUAUACUCUGAACCUGCACUAUCCACCCCAGCUCUGCAAAACAUUUGAGUUAAAUUGAGAACAACAUGGCAGUCAAGCACAGACUUCGUCAGUUCCUCCAGCUGCUGUGCAUUUGAUGAGCUGAAUGUCAAAUGUUUUGGGAGAAUACAGCACAGAUUGUAAUUUAAAGGUGUUCUUGUAUGCGUUUGUUAAAAUGUUUUAGUACAUACAAAAAGGUACUGUGCACUUUCAAGUUUAAGUCAGUUCUCUUCUGCUAUCUAAAAUGCUCAGGUCAAGAAUCACUGUAUUUUAAUGUCAGUGUUAAGAGUAAGCAGAUUGAAGGUGUUCUAUGCUGCACUUUAAGAUGAGGUCAGAAGUUUCUGUAAUUUUUUAAUGUUAAAAUGUUUACAACAUUAAAAUUGAUUACAGAAA